AUACUUACCUGGCAGGGGAGAUACCAUGAUCACGAAGGUGGUUUUCCCAGGGCGAGGCUUAUCCAUUGCACUCCGGAUGUGCUGACCCCUGCGAUUUCCCCAAAUGUGGGAAACUCGACUGCAUAAUUUGUGAUAGUGGGGGACUGCGUUCGCGCUCUCCCCUG
rnacentral:snRNA from 1 species